AGCAGCUCUCUUCCAGUACAUAUAGUCCGCCAUCGAAGAACAAGAACGUCCCCGAGGGGACAUCCGAUCCUGGUUCUCCUGUGAAGUUUUGCUAAGCUGCUUUCGAAUUUUGGAUUUCCACCUUUCUAACUUGGCCGCGUUUGGGAUUCUGGUGCUUUUCGCUCUUACCGUUUAUUUGAUAGAAAUUGAAUGUGCCGCAUAUAGGUUCUUCAUACCUCAAGUCUAAUUGAAAUACAGAGUGGAAAUUUAUUGUGCUAUUUCUUUGGAGAAGUUUCUGCCUUUUUCUUUCUACUUUGGCUACAAUGAACACUGGUUCUAUAAUUGUGCGUGUCUGUGUUUUGUAUUCUGUCAUUAGAUUGUUUGUAGGUUUUUGGAGUUGCAAUCGAAUUCAUGUUGGUAAAACAAUGAAAUUUCAUAUUUGUUGCAGUGAAUUCCAGGCGAUAUAUCUCUGAUAAGUUACAGAGUAUGUUUACAUGUUCUUAGACUUUUUGGAUGUGAAACACUAUAAAAUAUGAUGAUGUAUGAGUGUAAUUGUUCUUUCAGCUUUCCUGCAACUGAUGUUCUUGAUUUCAUAGCUAAAUCGUUGUGGACAAUUAUGUGUUUAAGGUUUCGACUUUCAACAUUUCUUGCAAGUAGGACAGGACAUGAUAGAUAUCAAUUCAUUCUUCACAGACUGUAGUUUAUUCCUUUCAGAAAACAGUUAUUCUAGCCAUGUUUCUGGUAUGGAUUAGCUUACCAAAUGUUUAUGGGCUGUGCUGGGGUCUGGGUGCUUUGGUCAGGAGGACAGAGUGUCCAUAGUCUUGUUUCUUUUUAUCCUCUACAAAUUCAUUUAAAGGUCAAUCUUUUCAAACCUCUAUGCUGUGUACAAGUAAAGAUGUGAUUGACAUCUAAAUCAGCAUGUAGUUUCUGUAAUUCUUGUGUGUCCAGGAGCUGAAUGUCCAUGAUCUAGUAUAGAAAAUGGGAAGAAAAAGCAAAAUCUCUUUUAGAUUUGUUGUUCAGAGUAAAUCAUAAUUUUGAACUAUGAAUGCUGAUGAUUAAUGAUUAGCAUACCCAAUGCUGUGGAAUAUGUGACUUGUAAUGGCAUGCUGUCUAUGUUCAUCUCAUUCUUAGAGUUUAAUGCAAUUUCAAGUGCUGAAGACAUGAUUUACUUAUAGCAGUCUAAUAGAUAUAGUGAUUUACUUGAGUCUUUGUCUCCACCACCUCACCGGCCUUAUAGAUUGGUUAUGCUACCACAUACGGAGUAUAAUUUUACAAUGACAAUUUUAUCCGUACCAAUCGUAUUCGGUUCGGUACGGUAUGAAAGUAUUCCUAUGAAAUUUUAUUGGUGAUAGUUUUAUAAUGGAUAUCAUAGAAAAUUUCUUUCUUUCAUGAUACAUUUUUUAUUGCAAAAUAUUAUAUGUAAUAUUAUGUCAAUAAAAAAUAAAAAAAAGAGGGUGGGAUUUUGUCAAAAUUGGAGUAAAAGAAAAUAAAUUUUAUUACUAGGAUAAUAUUGAAAAUUGCUUUAAAUAAUAGGUUCAAUAAAGAAGGGUAUAUGCACACAAAUGUUUUUUUUGAGAAAUGUAGUCACUUAACUUGUCAGCUCCCACAUCGGGCGAUGAAGCAGCUUGCUUCCAGUACAGAUACUCCGCCAUGGAAGCACUGAGCGUCCCUUCGGGGACAUCCGAUAAAAUUGGAACGAUACAGAGAAGAUUAGCAUGGCCCCUGCGCAAGGAUGACACGCACAAAUCGAGAAAUGGUCCAAAUUUUUUUUUGCCCAAAACCCCUGCCAUGGAUCCAUUGUUCCCCUGUGAAAAUUCGAUGAUUAUGAUGGCCAUUGCACUGGGAAUGCUGAAUUCAUUCAUGGCAAAUAUGAGAGAUGAUGGAGAACCAAUCUCAUACAAAAGAGAUUGCUUUGGAGAUUGGUGUCUCAAUUUUGUCUUCCCUUCUGUAUUUGUAUUCGGUACAAAAAUGAUAGUAAUGCAUAUUAUUGGUAAUAAUUUUUAUCAAUAUCAUUAAAAAUAAAAAUACAAAUCUUUGCGGUAAA